GAUCCUGGCUCAGAUUGAACGCUGGCGGCAUGCUUUACACAUGCAAGUCGAACGGCAGCACGGAGAGCUUGCUCUCUGGUGGCGAGUGGCGCACGGGUGAGUAAUACAUCGGAACAUACCUUGAAGUGGGGGGACAACAGUUGGAAACGACUGCUAAUACCGCAUAAUCCUGAAGGGGAAAGAUUUAUCGCUUUAAGAUUAGGCCCGCGGAAGAUUGGGUAGUUGGUGGGGUAAAGGCCUACCAAGCCG
rnacentral:rRNA from 1 species